GGAAUUUUGCGCAAUGGGCGGAAGCCUGACGCAGCAACGCCGCGUGGAGGAAGAAGGCCCUCGGGUCGUAAACUCCUGUCCAUGGGGAAGAUGGUGACGGUACCCGUGGAGGAAGCCCCGGCUAACUCCGUGCCAGCAGCCGCGGUAAUACGGGGGGGGCGAGCGUUGUUCGGAUUUACUGGGCGUAAAGGGCGCGCAGGCGGCGCCGGAAGUCCUGGGUGAAAGCUCCCGGCUCAACUGGGAGAGGGCCUGGGAAACCACGGUGCUGGAGUGCUGGAGAGGGAAGCGGAAUUCCCGGUGUAGCGGUGAAAUUCGUAGAUAUUAGGAAGAACACCAGUGGCGAAGGCGGCUCACUGGCUCGAUUCUGACGCUGAGGUGCGAAAGCGUGGGGAGCAAAC
rnacentral:rRNA from 1 species